GGCUACACAUGCAGUCGAACGGAGAAUCAGCAAUGGUUCUUAGUGGCGAACGGGUGAGUAACGCGUAGACAACCUGCCUCAAAGAUGGGGACAACACCGCGAAAGUGGUGCUAAUACCGAAUGUUGCAUUGGAUUCGCAUGAAUCUGAUACUAAAGGUGGCCUCUAAAAUAUGCUACCGCUUUGAGAUGGGUCUGCGUCUGAUUAGCUAGUUGGUGAGGUAACAGCUCACCAAGGCGAUGAUCAGUAGCCGGUCUGAGAGGAUGAACGGCCACACUGGGACUGAGACACGGCCCAGACUCCUACGGGAGGCAGCAGUGGGGAAUCUUCCGCAAUGGACGAAAGUCUGACGGAGCAACGCCGCGUGAGUGAAAAAGGUUUUCGGAUCGUAAAGCUCUGUCUUUGAGGACGAAUGUGCUUAAUGUAAAUAAUGUUAAGUAAUGACGGUACUCAAGGAGGAAGCCACGGCUAACUACGUGCCAGCAGCCGCGGUAAUACGUAGGUGGCAAGCGUUGUCCGGAAUUAUUGGGCGUAAAGCGCGCGCAGGCGGGAUAUUAAGUCUGUCUUAAAAGUUCGGGGCUCAACCCCGUGAUGGGAUGGAAACUAAUAUUCUUGAGUGCAGGAGAGGAAAGUGGAAUUCCCAGUGUAGCGGUGAAAUGCGUAAUAUUGGGAGGAACACCAGUGGCGAAGGCGACUUUCUGGACUGUGUCUGACGCUGACGCGCGAAAGCCAGGGGAGUGAACGGGAUUAUAUACCCCGCGUAAUCCUGGCCGUAAACGACUGG
rnacentral:rRNA from 1 species